AGGAGGUUUGUGUUCAUUCGAUCAAUUGGAUAAAGGAGUCUGAUUAAUAAUCUCCUUGCUGAUAUUCAGUAGUCAGUAGAAAGUGGGCAAUCACAGCUGGUUUUUGGGGCUAUAUUUUGUUUUUUACUAAUUUUUUCUCUCUCUAGGGUUUAGGGUUUUCGGAGUGUAAUGGAUGAUCUCGAAAAGGCGAUUCUGAUAAGCUUUGAUGAAUCCGGUGCAGUUAAUUCAGGGCUGAAAGAACAAGCCGUUGCUUUUAUUCAGCAGAUUAAAGAGAACCCAUCUGUUUGCAGCAUAUGUAUAGAAAAACUGUGUUUCUCUAAGCUAGUUCAGGUUCAGUUCUGGUGUUUACAGUGCCUCCACGAGGUGCUUAGAGUUAAGUACUCGUCGAUGGCACCGGAGGAGAAGUCUUUUAUUCGGAAGUCCGUUUCUUCGAUUGCUUGCUGCGAACCUGUACAUGCUAAUGAUAGUAGUUCGGCGAGCAUAUUGGAGGGCCCAUCAUUUAUUAAGAAUAAGCUUGCUCAGGUUGUGGUGACCUUAAUUUAUUUCGAGUAUCCGUCGAUUUGGCCGUCUGUUUUUGUUGAUUUCUUGCCGAAUUUGAGUAAAGGAGCUAUGGUUAUCGAGAUGUUUUCUCGGGUUCUCAAUGCGCUGGAUGAUGAAAUAAUUAGCUUGGAUUAUCCACGUAGCCAGGAUGAUGUGGCGGUGUCGGGGAGGAUUAAAGAUGCCAUGAGGGCUCAGUGUGUUCCUCAGAUUGUUGGAGCAUGGUACGACAUUAUUUCGAUGUAUAGGAAUUCGAACCCUGAGCUCUGCUCCAGUGUGUUGGAUUCUUUGAGGAGGUACAUUUCGUGGAUUGACAUUGGGUUGAUUGCUAAUGAUGCGUUUACUGGUCUGUUAUUUGACUUGAUGUUAGUGGAUGGGUUACUGGAUCAGCUUCGAGCUGCUGCAGCCGGUGCUGUUCUUGCAAUGGUCUCGAAAAGGAUGGAUUCCAAAUCGAAACUCUCUCUUUUGCAAAACCUUCAAAUAAGAAGGGUUUUUAGGUUGGUUGCAGGGGAUAGUGACUCGGAGUUGGUCUCGAGUGUGGCUGCUUUGCUCACGGGGUAUGCCACUGAAGUUCUAGAAUGUUCCAAGCGUUUGAGUACAGAGGAGGGUAAGGGGGUUUCGUUAGAACUCCUAAAUGAGGUUCUGCCAUCAGUUUUUUAUGUCAUGCAAAACUGUGAAGUUGACUCCGCAUUCAGCAUUGUGCAGUUUCUGUCAGUUUAUGUUGGCACAAUGAAGAGCCUUUCCGCAUUGACGGAAACACAGCUGCUUCACGUGGGUCAAAUAUUGGAAGUUAUCCGUUCGCAGAUUCAGUUUGAUCCAAUGUACCGUAAUAACCUGGACUUGUUGGACAAGAUUGGGCGUGAAGAAGAAGACAGAAUGGUGGAAUUUAGGAAGGAUUUAUUUGUAUUGCUCCGCAAUAUAGGUCGUGUUGCACCAGAUCUUACUCAGGCAUUUAUUAGGAGCUCAUUGGAUAACGCCGUUUCAUCCUCAGAAGAUAGAAAUGCAGAAGAAGUUGAAGCAUCUCUUUCCUUAUUUUAUGCGCUUGGAGAAUCAUUAAGUGAUGAUGCAAUGAGGACUGGUACUGGUUUACUGAAAGAGUUGGUCCCGAUGCUUUUAUCCACAAGAUUUCCUUGCCAUUCCAAUAGACUGGUUGCACUUGUUUAUUUGGAAACAAUAACAAGAUAUGUGAAGUUCGUAACGGAGAAUACACAAUAUAUUCCAAUAGCAUUGCAGGCUUUUCUUGAUGAGAGAGGUAUACACCAUCCUAACGUCAAUGUAUGUCGAAGGGCUAGUUAUCUUUUCAUGAGGGUUGUGAAAUUGCUAAAAUCGAAGCUUGUGCCUUAUAUUGAGACAAUCUUGCAGAGUCUACAGGAUACAGUUGCCCAAUUUACGAGAAUGAGCACUGCCUCAAAGGAGCUUUCAGGAUCUGAAGAUGGAAGUCAUAUUUUUGAGGCAAUUGGCUUGUUAAUUGGGAUGGAAGAUGUACCUGUUGAGAAGCAAUCUGAUUAUCUAUCUGCACUGUUAACUCCACUUUGUCAUCAGGUUGAGGUGGCCCUCUUAAAUGCCAAGUCUCAUAAUCCUAAAGAGCCUCUUGCACAGAUUGAAAAUCUUCAGCAAAUAGUUAUGGCCAUUAAUGCUCUUAGCAAGGGUUUCAGCGAGCGUCUUGUAACUGCUACCCGCCCUGGAAUUGGUCUCAUGUUCAAAAAGACUUUGGAUAUUCUCCUGCAAAUACUUGUCGUCUUCCCAAAGAUAGAACCCCUUCGCUCCAAGGUCACGUCAUUUAUUCACCGUAUGGUGGACACUUUAGGAUCUUCUGUGUUUCCCUAUCUUCCGAAGGCACUGGGCCAGUUGCUAACUGAAAGUGAGCCCAAGGAACUGGUGGGCUUUCUUGUACUCCUCAACCAGCUUAUCUGCAAAUUCGGUACCGAGCUCCGUGACAUUCUGGAAGAAGUAUACCCUGUUAUUGCUCACAGGACAUUCAAUAUUCUCCCAAGGAAUGAUAUUCAGUCCGGACCUGGCAGCUGUGCGGAGGAAAUUCGCGAGUUGCAAGAUCUCCAGAGGACAUUUUUUACAUUUCUAAAUGUUAUUGCUACACAUGAGCUUUCCUCUGUUUUCCUAAACCCCAAAAGUAGUGGAUACCUGGAUAUGAUGAUGCAGUUGCUGUUGUACGCAUGUUGUAAUCACAAGGAUAUCCUUAUAAGAAAGGGAUCUGUACAAAUAUUCAUCAGGCUAAUUAAGGAGUGGUGUGCUGGUCCUUAUGGCGAAGAAAAGGUACCUGGUUUCAAGAGUUUUGUGAUUGAAGCAUUUGCAAUGAACUGUUGCCUGUACAGUGUUCUAGACAAAUCCUUUGAGUUUCGCGACGCAAAUACUGUGGUCUUGUUCGGGGAAAUUGUAUUGGCUCAAAAGGUCAUGUAUGAGAAAUUUGGCAACGAUUUCCUUCUUAAUUUUGUUUCCAAAGGUUUUCAAAAUGUCCAUUGUCCUCAAGACUUGGCAGAGCAAUACUGUCAAAAGCUGCAGGCUAAUGACUUCAAGGCACUGAAAUCCUUCUACCAGUCUUUCAUUGAAAAGUUGAGACCCCAACAAAACGGCAGCCUCGUUUUCAGAUAACAAUUCGCAAACAUUAUUACAUGUAAUGAUGCUAAGCUCAAAUUUUGUAGCCUGUUGUUCCAUAAUCGUCCACCAAAAGGUUUCUUUGAGUGUAUAUACCAUUUUGUUUGCCUAUCACGGACAGCGAGGUGUAAAUUUGCGGAAUUUCAUUUUUUUUUCUUCCAUAUGAGUUCGUGUUUUGAAUUAGAAGUAUCGUGUUCGAAGAAGGCUAAGAUUCUCUAUCUCUGGUUUAAUGGUGCCAUAAUGGGUUUGGGUGGAAUCAACCGGUUUUAUUUUGUUGAGGAAACGGGGAAAAAAUAAAAAAAUCAAAAAUCAAAAUUUUGUAUUAAUUAAUUAGCCAUGGACCUGGAAAUGUUUCUGCAAUUCAGUCCGGUUAUAUAUAUUAGCUCCAUUUGAUUCAAUAAUUUCGUACAUAGCUUAUUAAUUAAUUGGUACAUUUUUUUUUGUUAGGAUAUUAAAUUGUGGUGUGUAUUAUUUUUUUGUAUAUGUACAUUUUGCCGAAGCCAAAUUGGACUA